CGGCCCCGACGCUGAGCCCCGCCUUGCGUCGCCUGUCCCCGAUCCGCUCGCGAAGCCGCUCCACCUGCAGAUCUGUGGCCCAGACGCCCGUGAAGCCGCUCCGCCUGCAGAUCCGAGCCCACUGUGACCAGAUUCCCCGAGUUGCAGUCCCAUUCGCUGCCUUGCCGUCGGAGCUGAGCACCUGCGCCCGCGACACCGGCCGAGAUCUCGCCUGCCGCUGCUCCUCACGACGCCACCGCUCGCCGCCGAUCCGCUCGCUGCUGGUCCUCAUCGCCGGAGCUCCGACGAUUAACUCCCGGUGGACCUCCACGAAGCUGCCAAAGCGUGGAAAGGAAGAAAGAAAGAAAAAACAGAAAAGACAAAAAUCAGAUUAAGUAGUUUUUUUAUUAUUUUAUCUUUAUUAUUUUUAUAUAGUUUAUAGUUUGUUUUUUUAUAUAGUUUUUGUUUUAGUGUAAUUAUUCAUUGAUACAUGAUUGAGAUUUCAACAUGAAAAAGUUCCUCAAGCUAGGGAUUGACAGUCCGAUUUUCGCGUCCGAAAUCCGACUCGCAAUCCCUUACAAAAAUUGACAAUCUAAUCUCAAGCCCGAAAUUCGAUUUGCGAUUUAAUUUAAAAUUGGCCAACCUGAUCUCAUGCGCGAGAUAUGGUUCUUCAAUUUUCGGAUAUCAAUCUUAUCUUGUUUGAUUUGCUUGUCGUCGAGUUGGUUGAGUCAAUCGAAUUUUUAAAAGAAAAAUCCAAAAAAUAUUUGAGUUAGGAUUAGAUUCGUUUUAGAAUAUUCUCAGUCUUAGGGUUAUCUUGCAUGUUAGGAAUUGCAAUCUUAUUUCGAAUUUUUAAAUAAAAAAUCCAAAAAAAUGCAUUCAUUUAGGAUGUUAGUUUUCUUUAAUUUAAAUGGCACGUUUAAUUAUUUGGCAAUUUUAAGUUUCGAAUUUUAUAAAGAAAAAUACAAAAAAUCAUCAUGCAUGUAUGGCACGUCAUUGCAUAUUAAUUUGAUUGCAUGUUUAGUUUUAUUUAGAUAAAUCUUUUAGAUAGAUUGCAUUUUAGGUUAGAGAUUACUUGGUUAAGAUAAGAUUCUAGUUUAAAUUAGGAUUUGGCUUAACUUAAUUCCUAAUACAAAUUGGAUAGAAUUUUAAUCUAGCUAGGUAAUUUUUGCAUCUUAAUUUCGAAUUUCAUAAAAAAAUUGUCUUAGAGUAGAUUCAUUUCAUUCUCUAAGAUAGUUUGCAUUUUUUUAGGAAUUGAAAUAUCAAAAGCACGUCAUUUAGUUUUUUAGGCCCAUUUAAUUAGAAACUGCCCGUCAAUAGAAUUAGAUCAUUUAGAUUGCAUUUAGUUAUUGCAUAUCUUUAGGAUUUACUUUACUAAUGUCAUAUAGCUUAGGUCAUGUUGCCAUGUCAUAUUAUUAGCAUGCAUCGCAUGAUUCUCAUUAAAUAAAGUGAAAACAAAAAAUUGCUUGAUGGCGUGUUAAUUUGAAAUCAUAUCUAGUAUUGCUGAUGUGAAUUCUGAUCUAACACUGCAGAUGCUUUUGUUGCUUUGAGAUAAGUUCUGCAUCAUUUAAUUGCUUUCUUGGGUGUUAAAUUGGUGGUUUGCGCACCGGCAUGAACACCUCACAUGUUAGGGAAAUAGAUUUAAAAUCAAUCCAAACUGUUUGCCAAACAUUUUUUAAAAUAAAAAGAAAGGUAACGAAAAGGUGUUAGAGAAUUCUAGCAUAACCAAGUCCCCGUACCCAUAGUCUCUGGUUCGUAGAAGUAAAAUAAUUCUCCUGUUAUUUUACUUGGGUUUCUAAUCGACCCACCAAAAAUAGAUUAGUGGCGACUCCUAAUUGAAAAUCAAUUGCAUGUUAAGAAUUCGAACCUAAGUCGCGAAUUAGUAUGGGCUUGGGAGAGCCCGGGUUAAGUCUAGGCUUAACAAUCCAUUAGCCAAAAUCAUAAGUGAUUCACCCCCGAAAAAUUUUGGUCGCGACAGCUUGGCGACUCCACUGGGGAACUUGAGUUAAAACUCUUAGUGGACUUAGGCCAAUUUUUCUUUUAUUUUGAAAAAUGUUUUUGUUUGGCAGCGAGGAUUCCAGGUACGCCCCUAACAUUUAAGGUGUUAAAUGUUCUUGCAGGAUGGGAGGUAUAAGGGGAAGGGUUUGCUAACAUUUAUUUUGCAGGGAGGUGUAGGAAUGUAUGGUUUAUUUUCAUGAACGAAGUGUUGUUUGAUUUAAAUUUCUAUGCAUGCCUUGCAUUAUCACUACACUUUGCACACACAACCUGCCGCCGGACUUGGGCCGCAUAGGAUCAUUUAGGAUGGUAUUGAGAUGGAUACCACUCCGACCGCAUGCUCGCGGUAUGAGUCGCCCAUCUCAAUCCCGAAGUUUCUUUCAUGGUGUCAAGAGUACCCACCUCAGUCCGCAUGCCCGCGACCCAGGUCGACUCUUUGACAAAGCCGGAGUCAUGAGGACCCGACAUAGUCCACAAGCUCGUGGCUAGUCUGAUCAUCCUUGUGGCUUCACUUUGAUAAGCCUUAUAGAUUAGAAAUCGAGCCACUUACCAUGCGCAUGUCUAUGUGAUUGCCGUCAAUUUUUCUUGGUAAAGUAAGUUUUCUAUCCUUAUACCAUGCAACUUAUUUUGUCAUGCUUUUGGCCUGUCUAUGACAAUCUAGUAUAGUCAUUUGAUCUAAUUCCUUUUAGAAAUGAAAUGAGGAAAUUGACAUGCAAUGAAUCAUUUGGAAAAAAAAAAAAAACUUUGGAGAAUUUGUUUUUAAUUCAUGUCUAGGAAAUUUGAUCUUACUAGGAUAUCUAUUUUUCUAGCUCUCUUUAGGAAAUUCCUUCCUUGUAAGAGCUUUUCAUGAAAAAAAAAAUGAUGAAAAAAGUUGAUAGAUCAUUGUCAUGGAUUGAUUCUUUAUUUGCACCUCAUACUUAUAUAUUUUCAUUCAUUUGGAUUAGGUGAUAACGGAUCCCUCACGUUCGCCUAUCAUUACACGAUCAAGAGCUAAAAUGACCGACCAAACUGAAAUGCAUGAUCGUAUCUCCGCUAUGGAAUACCAACUCCAACAGUUGCUCACCUCUAUGCAACUCGUGAUAGCCCAAAUCCAAUCCCUCCGAGCGGAUUUGACUCCUGCACCUGCUUUCCCUGAGGUAGUAGUUCCGAAACAGGAAUACAAGACCCAAAUGAGCAAUAAUGACAUGCCUGAACUAGAAGAUAACCCACUAGUCAUUGCCAAACUUGACAAUGUCCCUAAGACAAAGCAGGAUGAAGUGGAAGUGAUGGACACUCUAGGGCAGCCUAGUGGCAAGUUUGAUUACCUAGUGAAGUAUUCAGCUCCUCCUAGCUUUUACUUUGACUCCCGCAACAUAGUUCCAAGUGGAUGGGAUGACAUGGACGAUCUGACGCCUCCAAAGACAGAGAACUCUGAUGACGCCUUGGAAGGAAUCACAGGUCUAUUCGAUGACCUCUUCAUAGGAGCCAAUGACGAAGGACCUUCGGAAGACAUGGACGUUAGCCUGCAAGAGUAACUUGUUACUGUUGCACAUUCCCCUGCGCGGGAAUUUUUAUCUCUUUCUAGGAAUUUUUAUCACUUUUUAGGAUUGGUUUCCGUUUUUUAGGAAUCGUUUUCGAUUUUUUCUCUUUUUAGGGAUUUAGGAAUCACAAUUUCCAUUCCAAUAAUGUAAUUCAUUUGAUUCUAUUCAAUGAGAUUACAAUUUUAUUUCCAAUUUUGAGGACAUGAUGGAGUAUACCAAACCAGUCCAAUGAUGAUAUCCAACCAUAAAAAAGAAAAAUAUCAUCCACGGAGAAAUCCUGAGGGCUGGACUUUCUCAUGUUUCCUCCCAAAAAAACUUUUCGAAAGCAAAAGCAUUUCAUUGUUAAAAAGAAAGAAAAGAUAAACAUUUUUCCAAAGCUUGUAGUAGAUUAAACCUGUUUGUUUGUCUGACUCAUUUGCUUCUUGUUUCAGUGCAUAAUUCUAUAACUUGUUAUGACAAGGGACAUCUGAGAAUAGCAUAUCAAGUUUCAAUAAUCAUAAACUUGACUUGUGAUCAACAGGUUUAAAGCGCAUUUGCAAUGAAAAAAGAUUUGGGGCAAGUAAAAGAGAACCAUCAUUCUCCGGUGGAAGAUCCUGGGGGCAAGUUUGCUCCAAAUUACAGCCUAUAUGUGGUAAGGAAGGUACUUCCAAGAGGUGCCAUCCUAGCAGAGAUGGAUGGUCGUGAGUUUUCAAACUCCAGUAAAUUCUAAUGCUUUCAAGAAGUAUUAAUCCAUGAUAGAAUUUGCCAUGUCAUAAUUUGAGCUGCAAGCAUUUCUAUGAUGAGUAAAUUGCCUCAGUGAAUUGAAUUGUUCAAAUUUGUUGCACAUCUUGCAUUUUUCUUCCUUGAUGAAUUGUGUGAGAUGGAUUGAAUGUGUGAAAUGGGAUACUUUGGAAUGAUGAAAGGCAAACCCUAUUCCAUACACUGACCUCCAGUGAGUUGUGUGAAAAAUUCCAUGCCCACGAGGAAAAGGGUGAUCUCGCAAAGGGUAUGUCAACCAAGGUGAUGAGAGGCAGUUUUUUCUGCUACCCGAAACACUCCAAGUAUAUCCAUUGUUCAGCCCUUUGAGCCCACACACAUGGAGAGCUUUUUAAAUUAUCCCUAUCAAGAGUCGUCCCAUACUGGAACAAGAUUUGAAAUGAAUGAUAGGAAUUUUCUUACUCACACUUGCAUCAAUCUUCGAGUAUUGCUUUUACAGUGUGACUUGUACGAUAAUUUAAAGUGCCUUAGGACGACGAAGAGCAGUUCUUUCUCUAUCCUAUACACUUUAUCCAUUGCAUAGCCCCAUUGAGCUUAUGAAUUCAUUUCACAUUAAACCCAGUUGGUGAUCAUCCCCCACACUGGGGCAAGGCAAGAAAGAUCAAACCACUCAAGUAACAUGAUUUACAAUGCUGAUAAAAAUGAAGACUUUGUCCAAAAAAAAAAAAAGAGUGCAAAAAAAUGGGGCAUGAAAAAGCAGUGUGCCUGGUAAAAGCAAGGCCAAUGCCCAAAGAAAAAAUCAAACACUUGAUGAAGUGAGUCGUAUCUCCAACAAGGUGGUACUCAAUAAAAAAGAAAAAAAAAACUCAAAUGUUGAGAUGUUGCAAUCAGUGGAGUUGUGAAGUGAAGAAAAUCUUCGACGAUGGGGAGGAAAAUUGUUGGAAAUGUCAAGAUGAUCACCAACUUUGACCCCAUAAACACUUUUUGAGCCAAAUGAUCCUUUCGUUUCUCAACCUAUGAACCCAACCUACGUUACGUCCCUUACAAAGUCUCUUCAGAUUAUGGCACUUGAAUUAACGUAAAAGUUUAUAUGUUUGAAAGCAUCGCUUGAAGAAGUGCGAGUAAGAUAAUUUCUACUUCAUUUCUCAUGUUUCUUGACUUGUAAACCCCAAGAUGAUGGUGAAAUAUCAUUCAUUUUUUAAUAGCCUCGACUCAAAAAGUCUCAUUUGCUAAGCCGUUGACCAAGCCAGCGUUACGGUGUGACAUCCCAAAUUUUCAACCCUGUCUUCUACUGAAUUAAUCGGGCAUUUCAUUGACGCGUCUAUAGGGUUAUUCUCAGAGCCGAUCACUCUCGAGAUAACUAGACUAGCUGGGGAAAUUAUUAAGGAAUUUUAAGGCAAUAGACUUGAGAACUCGAUCAGGAAUCGGCUUCUUGACCGUGUCUAUCUUUAGAGGCCAUUGCGGCGCAUUAUAAAAUCGAUUAGAGAUCAGAGAUAGGUCGGUUCGACUGAGAUGUGUGGCUAAUCGUGGGUGACACCACUAAAUUAGAAAAUUCUCGUUGACCGGCACUAGACCGAUUUCUUAUUGUUUUGGUACCCUGUGUCCGUAAUUGAAUCCUCGAGAUUUUCACGACAAUCAAGAGUCGCCAUUGAGUCGAGUGGGUUUAUAGUGGCUCGAAGAAAAUCGACCACGGGUCAUUUGCCUUAAAAAGUUCUGAAAACUACCCGAUAGUCUAGGUCACGCUAAAAACGCGCCGAAUGAAAAUUAACCGCCAAUUCGAGUCCGAUUUCAGAAAUUGAAGUUUUGGUCAUGUCACAAUAAAUUUUAGGGGCAUUGACUCAGUCUCAGAAGAUUUUUGGAGAUUCGGGAAAUUUUACGGAAAUUGGGUUCGGACGUCGCGGAAAUUUGGCAGAAGUUCAGAUUGGCUAAAUUAAUGGGAAAUUUGACUUUCGGGUUGAGCUUGUGUGUGUCGGAGAUUAAUAGAAGCCAAAUGAGGAUGAAUUGAAAUUAUUCAAGUGUCCAAUUGAGAGGAGAUGAUGCCAAUUUCGUAAUCCCCCUCAUGCCUAGCCAAAAUGCACCAUUUGAAGUGUUGUGAGAAGGGUUGGUGUGGCCCAUUGGAGGCCAAGGGAUUAUACAUGGCCAAAACCAAGUCUUGGAGAUAUUUGUGGAAAAAUCAAGCUCAAGGGGCCCUCCAUCCUUUUUCAUCUCUAUCUCCUUGCACUCUCUCACCCACCGUCCACCUCCAUCCUCUCUCUCCCUUCUCAUUUCUUCGUGCGACUCCUUCGUGAAUAGCUGAUGUUGAAGACCGGCAGCUCCUUCCUUUGCAAAUUGAAGUCCACGUUCCUCUUCUUCACCGAUUCUGCCAGCCACACGCCAGCCCCACUACCGUUGGUCUCCUUCGGUCAAAACUCCUCUCGCUGGCCUUGGUAGUUGACUGGCGGCAUCCACGAAGCCUUGAAGACCGAAACUCCACCGAGCGAAGCCUCCACCGAAGCAAGGAAAUCUACAGAAGCAAGAGCGGCCGCACGUCUCCACCAUCGAAGACCUUCGCUUCAGCCAGCGCCUCCACGCGUCCUCAACCAGAGCUCUUUCAGUCAACCGCAGCAAGCCCACCGAAAGUCAGUGGUUGACCUAGCAGCUUUGUUCAGCUGCCACUUGGCCGUGAGGCCUUCCGUCGAUGCCUCCCUCACACGCCCACCGAGCUGAGCUCCUCUCUGCUGGGCCGAAGUUGUCUCAACCGAAGUCACCAAUUCCCCAGCAGCAACUCCACGUCGACGCUGCAGCCCCACUUCGGCUUGUCUUCAACGGAGUCAACGGAACCAGCAGCUUCUUCUCUUUUGUUGACUGAAGCUGCCAGCGGAUGCCCCUUCUCCACUGAGGUUGGUCGGCCACAGAAGCCAGCAAGCUGUCCGAGAAUUUUCUUCAUCGUCAACCGAAACCUCGAAGCAUCUCCACGCCUCACCGAACCGCACGUCAUCAGCUCCUUGGACCACCGAAGCUGCAAGUCCAGCCCAGCGAAUUCCAAGCCCAGUCGUCCGUGUAUCUUCAGCCCAUCUGCAGAGGCAUUUCUAGCCCAGCAUAAAUUGGAUUAGAAGCCCAGUAAUUUCAGUCUUUUGGGCCCAGCAAAGACAGGCCCAAUUCAGUUUUAUUUCAAGCCCAUUUUCAGCAAUUGUAAUCUUCAAGCCCAGUUUUUGAAGCCCAAUCGCAGCUAGGCCCAAGUCCAAGAGCAAGCCCAUUCCAGUGCAAGAACAAAUCUCAAUUGGGCUGAGAUUUGUUGGGCCUAAUUCAAGGCCCGGUCCAAGUCCGUGGGAGUCGUUGCGAGCCCGUUUUCGGCCGCCGUCGCGUCGCCGUCGUGGUGAUUCGAUUCCCGCUUUUGAUCAAGUGAGUUUUACUCACUAAUGCUUUAUUAGUUUGCUAAUUAUGCCUUAUGGUUGGUUAGAUUUAAUUACAUGCACUUAGGUGGUUAGAUUAGGUUAGAACAAUUAAUUUAGUGACUUAAUGAUGCAUGUUAGGUGGCUAGACCUAGUUAUUAGCAAGUAGAAAGGUUCGGUUAUUUAUUGAAUGUAUCUCGGGAUUUUUCCCGACCCGUUUCGGGCUCCAAUAAGGCAAUAUGGGCCUAAAUUGGAUUUUCAAUGUUUAUUUAUUUAUUUUCGAAAUUUAUUUAAUUAAUUAUUUUUCCGGAAAUUCAACUGGGAUGGCCAGUGACUGGAAUUUCGUGCUGAUUGUCGUGGUGCAGCUCGUUUAUUCAUUUGAGCUCUACGUUGUGUGGAAUUGAAUUAAUUGUGAAAUUUGAGGAUUUAUCCUUAAAUGUUUGUUAUUGAAUAUUUGAUUGGUAAUGGCCAAGCAUGAGUAUAUAGCGCCAGUACUUUGAUGGGCUAUAUAGUAGGGAGAAUGGUGAGACCAAUCAGGUAUGAUGUUAUUGGACAUACGUGGUUCGGUGAUUGGAAGUAUCACUGGCGAAAACGGCGCCUUAAAGAACGCACGUAAAUGACUUAUAGACAAACGUGGUUCGGUGGUUAUGGGAAUAUCACUGGUGAAAACGGCGCCUUAAAGAACGCACGAUGUUGUCUAUAGCCGAUGUCACCUUGGCGAAAACGGCGCCCUUGAAAGGACACGUGGUUCGGUGAUCAAGGUUAUCACUGGUGAAAACGGCGCCUUAAAGAACGCACGGUGUCGGUGAUCGGUAUGUCAUUGGCGAAAACGACGCCCGAGAAACACAUGUGAUUUGGUGAAUGAGUACACCACUGGGAAAUCGUGGUAUGAGUGGGAAUGACCUAGAAAGGGUCUGACUGACAUGUAAUCGACUGAGUCGAUUGAUCAAUGCUUGAUCGGAUGUCGUGAAUUGUUUGAAUAUCUGUGUUUAACCUUGAAUUGCAGGUUGGAACUGAGGCCAAGGUAAGUCCUUUGACUCGUGUUGUGCUUAGGCAACCGUAUGGUGUAUUAGUUUACUAAUCGAGUCGUAGGGGGUAGGACUCGCUGAGACGUGGUCUCAUUGGUUAUUGAAUAACCAUUUCAGGACCCUGAGGAGAAUCUAAGGAAGAGGAACCUGAAGAGGAGAAAGUAUUUUGAAGAAGAAGAAGAUCCAGAGAGGGAUCUUGAAUAUAACCCGGAUGUGGACUGAGAUCCCAUCCCUUUUGUCAACCCUGUCUCAGUAUAGAUAGGUGUAAGACAAGUAUGUUGUGAAUAGUAUUGUAAAUAUACUAUGAGUUGUGCUGUUAAUGAAAGUGUGGUUGUGAAUUUCAAUAUGAAAAAUAUGGCCUGCUUUCCUAUCCCAUUGUUUUAUUGUCUGGGGAUUUAUAACUGCUUCCGCAUGUGCUUAAUAAAAAGAAAGGGUCGGCGAUACAUAGUCCUGGGAUAUCGCACUAUAAAAUCGACCAAGUAGAAGGAUGUGCGCGCGUCCGAGGAUCGGGGCGUGACAUACGGUCCCUGUUAAAGACCUCUCAGAUUGGUAAUUUCGUACCACUUGCGAGAUUGCUCGAACCCUUGUUUGGCAUGAUGAUGGAAAGAUAGAGUGAUUGUCAAAAAUCAUGUAUUAAAGGUCAGGAUAAAACAACUCAUUUUAAUGAGGAUGAGUGAAAAGUCUUUUCAAACCAAGAGGUCCCCCAUUUGGCACAUCCAUGACACUCAUGUGUUCAGAUUGGAACAUUUUUUGAAAUCUUUCCUAAUGGAAAUUAGGUGAUGCAGGCUUGAUAUAAAUCAUAGUGCAUAAAUCUCCCUUAAAUUAAUGCAUGUUUGUGAUCACAAAUGCAUAUUGCUUUUCCUAUGACCAUGUUUUGCAGAAGACAUUUCCCCCAGGAACAGAGAUGAUACCAUGUAAGUAUAUCUCUAUCCAUACCUUAAAUACUUGUCAUUGUGCAGGUAUUCCCUUUUGAAAACACUGACACUCGAUCGAGCUGUCCCUCAAAGAUUUUUCUCCAGAUUCAGUCUUGAUUAAGGUGACCGAAGAAAGGUUCAAGUCCUGGUCAGAUAAUCUAUGCUGCAACGUUAGGCGACCGAAGAAAAGUUCGGGUCCUGACCAAGCAAAACCUCAGUUUAGGCGACCGUAGAAUGGUAUGGGUCCUAGACAAAACCUAUUCCUUAUUUAGGCGACCGUAGAAUGGUACGGGUCCUGGAAGGUAAAUCCCCGUUUAGGUGACCGUAGAAUGGUACGGGUCCUAGACAAAACCUAUUUCCCUAUUCAGGCGACCGUAGAAUGGUACGGGUCCUAGAAGGUAAACCCCCAUUUAGGCGACCGUAGAAUGGUACGGGUCCUAGAAAAAACCUAUUUCCCUAUUCAGGCGACCGUAGAAUGGUACGAGUCCUGGAAGGUAAACCCCCGUUUAGGCGACCGUAGAAUGGUACGGGUCCUAGACAAAACCUAUUUCCCUAUUCAGGCGACCGUAGAAUGGUACGAGUCCUGGAAGGUAAACCCCCGUUUAGGCGACCGUAGAAUGGUACGGGUCCUAAACAACAUCUAUUUCCCUAUUCAGGCGACUGUAGAAUGGUACGGGUCCUGGAAGGUAAACCCCCGUUUAGGCAACUGUAGAACGGUACAGGUCCUAGACAACAUCUAUUUCCCUAUUUAGGUGACCGUAGAAUGGUACGGGUCCUAGACACAACCAAACACUGCCCUACUAGGCGACCAUAGAAUGGUAUGGGUCCUAGGAAAGUAGUCUCUUCGUUACUAUUUUAGGCGACCGUAGAAAGGUACGGGUCCUGAACAUGUAACACCAACUAUCUUGAAUUACUCUAUCCUCCUUGAAGGUAAGAUAUUCCAGGUAGGUUCCUUUACCAUUUGCAUACAAAUUGCAUUCCAAAAUUUUGACAUCUCAGUUUGGAUCUAGAUGUCUCAAUUCUCUUCGUUGAACGUUUCACUCUGGAUGUGAAUGUUCUUCAACUUUCAUCGUUAUACCUUAGUCUGGAUCUAGGUAUUUUGAGCUUCUAAAAUCAUGACAUCUCUGUCUGGACCCGGAUGUCUUGAUUAUUUUCGUCUAAACAUUUCACUCUGGAUGUGAAUGUUUUUUCGACCUUUCUCAUUAUACUUAGUCUGGAUCUAGGUAUCUCGAGUACAAAAAUCUUGACAUCUCAGUCUGGACCUGGAUGUCUUGAUUAUUUUCAUUCAAACAUUUCACUCUGGAUGUGAAUGUUUGUAAAUCCUUCUCAUUAUACCUUAGUUUGGAUCUAGGUAUUUUGAGUUUUCAAAAAUCUUGACAUCUUAGUCUCAAUCUGGAUGUCUCAAUUUUUUAUGUUGAACAUUUCACUUUGGAUGUGAAUGUUCUUACCUAUUACGCUUUUCAAGGAACCUGAGUGAGAGUUGGGUACUUGUGGAGUAAAUAGGAAUUUAUCAUGUACCUUAAGAUGCUUUACCGCAUUGAUUGGUAAGUAAUUGUAGGUACGUUCUUUCCUUUGACAUCAUGCAUUUGCAUUAGCAUUUCCAUGCACCACAUGAAUUGCUUUCUUUUUUUUUUAAAAAAAAAAAUGGGAUACAUUUCCCGACAAAAAAAAUCAUUUAGUGUAUGUGCAUAGUUAAAAUUUAGGUCUCAAUUUGUCUUUGAAGGCAACCUCUUCGAGCUCACAUUCAAAUAGGGGCAGCUGUUGACACCUAAAUUUUAACAGCCCAUAUAGUCAUUUAAUGAGAUUAAAAAAUUAGGGGUUUAAUUUUAUCAAAAAAAUAUUAAUUACAUAGCAUAUAGAUUUAGGUGCAUUUUAUUUUAAUUGGCAUUUUAUUUAUUGGACCGGUGUGGAUGGGUUCAAAUUGAUCGGACUAAACCCAUAAAGACUACAAGUUAGCCCGAACCCAUUUUCUGAAAUUGAGAUUUGAAAUAAUAAUUUUUGGAAUUUAAGAAAAUCGGGUUGUGAUCUUAUCUUAAAAAUCAGUAGAAAAUAUUUAUGAGAUAAGGAGAAUAUUAUGAGAUAAAAGGAUUUUGUGAUACGGAGGUUAUAGGCAAUUUUCGAAAUAUUUUAAGAAGAUCGCAUUAUGCUUGCUUAUAAAAGGGCAGUGUACGGCCUGAUCGGGGGGGGCUCUCGGUUAAAAAAAAAAGAAAUCAAAAGUUAAAAAGUGAGAAGAGAGAGAUCAGUGAGGAAAAGCUGCCUAGGGAAAGAAAAGUCAAAAGAGGCAGAGGGAAGAGACAGCAGUAAGAGAAGAGAGAGAAAAUACCAAAAAAAACAGGAAAAGAAAAAAAAGUCUUCUUCUCCUUUUUCGUGCAGUGCCCCGCCGACCCUCUGCACUCCCCUUCCGCUGCUGCCGACGUCCACAGCCGUGCCUCCACACCGUUGCUGCUGCUCCUGCGCCCCGCACAGCCCGCACCCAGUCACCAACCACCGCGUGCCCCUGCUCCAAGUGCUGCUGAUCCGCGCCCGAUAGACGACACCACUGCUGCUGUCCUGAUCUGCCCACUUGAACGCUCGACUCCGGCAGAUGUGAGCCGGACCGCUGCUGCCCGAGCACCGCUGGUCGUCGCACCACCGUGCCCAUGCACCGCGCCGCACCAUCGCGCUCAGAUCUCCGCGCCGCGCCUCAACGCCCUGCCGGCUUUGCCCGCAACAUCGUCGCCGAUCGACCCACGCUGCCCCAACGCUAAGCCCCGCCUUGCGUCGCCUGUCCCCGAUCCGCCCGCGAAGCCGCUCCACCUGCAGAUCUGUGACCCAGACGCCCGUGAAGCCACUCCGCCUGCAUAUUCGAGCCCACCGCAACACCGUGACCAGAUUCCCCGAGUUGCAGUCCCAUUUGCUGCCCUGCCGUCGAAGCCGAGCACCUGCGCCCGCGAUGCCGGCCGAGAUCUCGCCUGCCGCUGCUCCUCGCGACGCCACCGCUCGCCGCCGAUCCGCUCGCUGCUGGUCCUCAUCGCCGGAGCUCCGACGAUUAACUCCCGGUGGACCUCCACG
rnacentral:lncRNA from 1 species